GGUUAAGUGACUAAGCGUACACGGUGGAUGCCUAGGCAGUCAGAGGCGAUGAAGGGCGUGCUAAUCUGCGAAAAGCGUCGGUAAGGUGAUAUGAACCGUUAUAACCGGCGAUACCCGAAUGGGGAAACCCAGUGUGUUUCGACACACUAUCAUGUCAUGAAUACAUAGUGGCAUGAGGCGAACCGGGGGAACUGAAACAUCUAAGUACCCCGAGGAAAAGAAAUCAACCGAGAUUCCCCCAGUAGCGGCGAGCGAACGGGGAGGAGCCCAGAACCUGAAUCGGCUUGUGUGUUAGUGGAAGCGUCUGGAAAGUCGCGCAGUAAAGGGUGAUAGCCCCGUACACUAAAAUGCACAGGUCGUGAGUUCGAUGAGUAGGGCGGGACACGUGACAUCCUGUCUGAAUAUGGGGGGACCAUCCUCCAAGGCUAAAUACUCCUGACUGACCGAUAGUGAACCAGUACCGUGAGGGAAAGGCGAAAAGAACCCCGGCGAGGGGAGUGAAAUAGAACCUGAAACCGUGUACGUACAAGCAGUGGGAGCACCUUCGUGGUGUGACUGCGUACCUUUUGUAUAAUGGGUCAGCGACUUAUAUUUUGUAGCAAGGUUAACCGUAUAGGGGAGCCGUAGGGAAACCGAGUCUUAACUGGGCGACUAGUUGCAAGGUAUAGACCCGAAACCCGGUGAUCUAGCCAUGGGCAGGUUGAAGGUUGGGUAACACUAACUGGAGGACCGAACCGACUAAUGUUGAAAAAUUAGCGGAUGACUUGUGGCUGGGGGUGAAAGGCCAAUCAAACCGGGAGAUAGCUGGUUCUCCCCGAAAGCUAUUUAGGUAGCGCCUCGUGAACUCAUCUUCGGGGGUAGAGCACUGUUUCGGCUAGGGGGCCAUCCCGGCUUACCAAACCGAUGCAAACUCCGAAUACCGAAGAAUGUUAUCACGGGAGACACACGGCGGGUGCUAACGUCCGUCGUGAAGAGGGAAACAACCCAGACCGCCAGCUAAGGUCCCAAAGUCAUGGUUAAGUGGGAAACGAUGUGGGAAGGCAUAGACAGCCAGGAUGUUGGCUUAGAAGCAGCCAUCAUUUAAAGAAAGCGUAAUAGCUCACUGGUCGAGUCGGCCUGCGCGGAAGAUGUAACGGGGCUAAACCAUGCACCGAAGCUGCGGCAGCGACGCUUAGGCGUUGUUGGGUAGGGGAGCGUUCUGUAAGCCGUUGAAGGUGGCCUGUGAGGGUUGCUGGAGGUAUCAGAAGUGCGAAUGCUGACAUAAGUAACGAUAAAGCGGGUGAAAAGCCCGCUCGCCGGAAGACCAAGGGUUCCUGUCCAACGUUAAUCGGGGCAGGGUGAGUCGACCCCUAAGGCGAGGCUGAAAAGCGUAGUCGAUGGGAAACAGGUUAAUAUUCCUGUACUUGGUGUUACUGCGAAGGGGGGACGGAGAAGGCUAGGCUAGCCGGGCGACGGUUGUCCCGGUUUAAGCGUGUAGGGGGUGUGACCUGGUAAAUCCGGUUGCAUGCUAACCCUGAGGCGUGAUGACGAUGCACUACGGUGCAGAAGUAGUUGAUGCCCUGCUUCCAGGAAAAUCCUCUAAGCUCCAGGUAACAUUGAAUCGUACCCCAAACCGACACAGGUGGUCAGGUAGAGAAUACCAAGGCGCUUGAGAGAACUCGGGUGAAGGAACUAGGCAAAAUGGUGCCGUAACUUCGGGAGAAGGCACGCUGGCAUGUAGGUGAAGUCCCUCGCGGAUGGAGCUGAAGCCAGUCGAAGAUACCAGCUGGCUGCAACUGUUUAAUAAAAACACAGCACUGUGCAAACACGAAAGUGGACGUAUACGGUGUGACGCCUGCCCGGUGCUGGAAGGUUAAUUGAUGGGGUCAGCCGCAAGGCGAAGCUCUUGAUCGAAGCCCCAGUAAACGGCGGCCGUAACUAUAACGGUCCUAAGGUAGCGAAAUUCCUUGUCGGGUAAGUUCCGACCUGCACGAAUGGCGUAAUGAUGGCCAGGCUGUCUCCACCCGAGACUCAGUGAAAUUGAACUCGCUGUGAAGAUGCAGUGUACCCGCGGCAAGACGGAAAGACCCCGUGAACCUUUACUAUAGCUUGACACUGAACAUUGAGCCUUGAUGUGUAGGAUAGGUGGGAGGCUUUGAAGCGUGGACGCCAGUCUGCGUGGAGCCAUCCUUGAAAUACCACCCUUUAAUGUUUGAUGUUCUAACUCGGCCCCAUAAUCUGGGGUGAGGACAGUGUCUGGUGGGUAGUUUGACUGGGGCGGUCUCCUCCCAAAGAGUAACGGAGGAGCACGAAGGUUAGCUAAUCACGGUCGGACAUCGUGAGGUUAGUGCAAAGGCAUAAGCUAGCUUGACUGCGAGAGUGACGGCUCGAGCAGGUACGAAAGUAGGUCUUAGUGAUCCGGUGGUUCUGAAUGGAAGGGCCAUCGCUCAACGGAUAAAAGGUACUCCGGGGAUAACAGGCUGAUACCGCCCAAGAGUUCAUAUCGACGGCGGUGUUUGGCACCUCGAUGUCGGCUCAUCACAUCCUGGGGCUGAAGUAGGUCCCAAGGGUAUGGCUGUUCGCCAUUUAAAGUGGUACGCGAGCUGGGUUUAGAACGUCGUGAGACAGUUCGGUCCCUAUCUGCCGUGGGCGUUGGAAGAUUGAGAGGGGUUGCUCCUAGUACGAGAGGACCGGAGUGAACGCACCACUGGUGUUCGGGUUGUCAUGCCAAUGGCAUUGCCCGGUAGCUAAGUGCGGAAAAGAUAAGCGCUGAAAGCAUCUAAGCGCGAAACUUGCCUCAAGAUGAGUCUUCCCUGGGCCUUUAAGGCCCCUGAAGGAACGUUUAAGACUAAGACGUUGAUAGGCUGGGUGUGUAAGUGCAGCGAUGCAUUGAGCUAACCAGUACUAAUGAUCCGUGAGGCUUAACCUU
rnacentral:rRNA from 1 species